UACGAGGGGGGCAAGCGUUGUUCGGAAUUAUUGGGCGUAAAGCGUGCGCAGGCGGUUUUGUAAGACUGGCGUGAAAUCCCCGGGCUUAACCUGGGAAUGGCGAUGGUGACUGCAAGGCUAGAGUUUGGCAGAGGGGGGUAGAAUUCCACGUGUAGCAGUGAAAUGCGUAGAUAUGUGGAGGAACACCGAUGGCGAAGGCAGCCCCCUGGGUCAAAACUGACGCUCAUGCACGAAAGCGUGGGGAGCAAACAGG
rnacentral:rRNA from 1 species